UUGGAGGGCAAGUCUGGUGCCAGCAGCCGCGGUAAUUCCAGCUCCAAUAGCGUAUAUUAAAGUUGUUGCAGUUAAAAAGCUCGUAGUUGAAUUUCGGGAUCAAUAUAUCGGUCAUGCUUAGGUAUGUACUGGUAUUAUUGAUCUCUCCCUUCUGAAGAACCAUGAUGUCAUUAAUUUGGUGUCGUGGGGAAUCAGGACUGUUACUUUGAAAAAAUUAGAGUGUUUAAAGCAGGCAUACGCUUGAAUACAUUAGCAUGGAAUAAUGAAAUAGGACGUUUGAUUCUAUUUUGUUGGUUUCUAGGAUCGACGUAAUGAUUAAUAGGGAUAGUUGGGGGCAUUAGUAUUCAAUUGUCAGAGGUGAAAUUCUUGGAUUUAUUGAAGACUAACUACUGCGAAAGCAUUUGCCAAGGAUGUUUUCAUUAAUCAAGAACGAAAGUUAGGGGAUCGAAGACGAUCAGAUACCGUCGUAGUCUUAACCAUAAACUAUGCCGACUAGGGAUCGGAUGAUGUUAAUUUUUUAAUGACUCAUUCGGCGCCUUACGGGAAACCAAAGUGUUUGGGUUC
rnacentral:rRNA from 1 species